AUGGCCUGGUCCCCUCUCCUCCUCACCCUCCUCGCUCACUGCACAGGGUCCUGGGCCCGGUCUGUGCUGACUCAGCCGCCCUCAGUGUCGGGAUCUGUGGGCCAGAGAAUCACCAUCUCCCGCUCUGGAAGCACAAACAGCAUUGGUAUACUUGGUGUGAACUGGUACCAAGAGCUCCCAGGAAAGGCCCCUAAACUCCUCGUAGAUGGUACUGGGAAUAGACCCUCAGGGGUCCCUGACCGAUUUUCUGGCUCCAAAUCUGGCAACUCAGGCACUCUGACCAUCACUGGGCUUCAGCCUGAGGACGAGGCUGAUUAUUAUUGUCAGUCCAUUGAACCCAUGCUUGGUGCUCCCACAGUGCUCUGGGCCUAUGUGGAAAUGAGACACAACACUGCUGUCCCUAGAACAAUGGCACUGCCUGUGCAACUCUGGCCUUAUGGCAAAGUCAGCUACUUCUUUGAUAUGAACUGAGUUCUGAGAUCCAUCUCACUGAAUUUGUUUACCCAAGUCUUUCCACAUUCUUUGACAUUUCUCCUUGAAGCCUAUCCUUGGGAGCUAGGUACUGUGUGAUUUUCUUAAAUUGAGCACAGAUUCCUGGGUGUCAGUGUCAGCUGCCCUGAGAACAGAUUCCAUGAC